rnacentral:rRNA from 1 species
UACGUAGGGUGCGAGCGUUGUCCGGAAUUACUGGGCGUAAAGAGCUCGUAGGUGGUUUGUCGCGUUGUUCGUGAAAACUCACAACUCAAUUGUGGGCGUGCGGGCGAUACGGGCAGACUGGAGUACUGCAGGGGAGACUGGAAUUCCUGGUGUAGCGGUGGAAAUGCGCAGAUAUCAGGAGGAACACCGGUGGCGAAGGCGGGUCUCGUGGGCAGUAACUGACGCUGAGGAGCGAAAGCGUGGGGAGCGAACAGG